UACGGAGGGGGCAAGCGUUAUUCGGAUUUACUGGGCGUAAGGGUGGUGUAGGCGGUCGUGCAAGUCUGGUGUGAAAUCUUCACCACUCAACGGGAAGAGGUCACUGGAAACUGCAUGACUUGAGUUUGGUAGAGGCUAGCGGAAUUCCUGGUGUAGCGGUGGAAUGUGUAGAUAUCAGGAAGAACACCUGUGGCGAAGGCGGCUAGCUGGGCCAAUACUGACGCUGAGACACGAAAGCGUGGGGAGCAAACGGG
rnacentral:rRNA from 1 species